rnacentral:rRNA from 1 species
GCUCUGCUGGGCCAUAACUGACGCUCAUGGACGAAAGCCAGGGGAGCGAAAGGGAUUAGAUACCCUGUAGUCCUGGCCGUAAACGAUGAACACUAGGUGUCGGGGGAAUCGACCCCCUCGGUGUCGUAGCCAACGCGUUAAGUGUUCCGCCUGGGGAGUACGCACGCAAGUGUGAAACUCAAAGGAAUUGACGGGGGCCCGCACAAGCGGUGGAGUAUGUGGUUUAAUUCGAUGCAACGCGAAGAACCUUACCAGGGUUUGACAUCCUGCGAAUCUCUUGGAAACGAGAGAGUGCCUUCGGGAACGCAGUGACAGGUGGUGCAUGGCUGUCGUCAGCUCGUGUCGUGAGAUGUUGGGUUAAGUCCCGCAACGAGCGCAACCCACGUCUUUAGUUGCCAGCAUUUAGUUGGGCACUCUAGAGAGACCGCCGGUGAUAAACCGGAGGAAGGUGUGGAUGACGUCAAGUCAUCAUGCCCCUUACAUCCUGGGCUACACACGUACUACAAUGCUACGGACAAAGAGCAGCAAGUUCGCGAGGACAAGCAAAUCUCAUAAACCGUGGCUCAGUUCAGAUCGUAGGCUGCAACUCGCCUACGUGAAGGAGGAAUCGCUAGUAAUCGCAGGUCAGCAUACUGCGGUGAAUACGUUCCCGGGCCUUGUACACACCGCCCGUCACACCAUGGAAGUUGGCCACGCCCGAAGCCGUUACUCCAACCCUUGUGGAGGAGGACGUCGAAGGUGGGGCUGAUGACUGGGGUGAAGUCGUAACAAGGUAGCCGUACCGGAAGGUGCGGCUG